ensembl:lncRNA
AGAACAUAGGACCUUCUGACUGCUAAUUUGAACUCCACAAGCAUCAUGUCGAUGGCAGAAGGGACAUUAUCAUUCGUUGCUUAGUUGAGUAUCUUGGAGAGAGUGGAGAGGAGCUGAUCAAAGACCAUCAGGACGUCAGCCAAGAAGCAUUGAAAGAGGACUGCAGUAAUCACAUGAUGAAGAUCAUCGUAAUCCAUCCCAAUGUGGCACAGGAAAACCAAGAUCCUGUGAACAUGUCGGUCAUCAUUGAGGGGACAGAAAUUCUGGAGGACUGCGGAAGUGUGACAAAUGCUUGCCUCCUGCUCAUGGCUGUCAACUUAAGUUACCCACUGAAACUGAAAUACACGUUUGAGGUAUUUCAGAAGCUGUUUCUUGAGCUUGACAUCCUUAAAAUGUCACCAAAGGUCCUGUCUCUCCACAAGAAACUUUUAGCGUGAAUGUUCCAGUGUUAUUUGUGCUUUUGUCCAGCACAAUUAAUUUG